rnacentral:rRNA from 1 species
AUGGGCAUGAACAUGGAAGAAGCAGGAGGCGCCGCUGGCACCGUCCGGACCGUGUCCCGGCGACUGGUCCGGCCGUCGAUCGGCGACGCGCCGCCGCCGGAGGACAUCCACCUCACGCCGUGGGACCUCCGCUUGAUCAGCGUCGACUACAUCCAGAAGGGCCUCCUCCUGCCCGCGCCUCCCGCCGGCGGCGACCGCCUCGUCGGCACCCUCGCGUCGUCCCUGGCGCGCGCCCUGCGCAGGUACUACCACUUGGCCGGCCGUCUCGCCGUUGAGGAGCGGGGCGACGGGGCCGUCAACGUCAGGCUGCGCUGCACUGGGGAGGGCGCCGAGCUCGUCCACGCGACGGCGCACGGCGUCGCCGUCGCGGACAUCGCCGGCUCGGUGUACACCCCGUCAUCGGUGGUCUGGGCCUUGUUCCCGUUGAACGGGGUGCUUGGCGCGGACGCGGCCGUCGAUUCGCUCCCCGUACUGUCGGCGCAGGUCACCGAGCUCGCCGACGGCGUGUUCGUCGGCGUGUCGUUGAACCACUCCGUCGGCGACGGCUUCGUCUUCUGGGAGCUCUUCAACACCUGGUCGGAGAUCAACCGUGGGGGAGGAGGAGCCAUCAGGGAUCUAAGCGAGAUCUCCGCACGGGUGCACCGGAGGUGGUUCACUGAUGCCAGCCCCGUGCCGAUCCCCCUGCCUUUCAGCAAGCUGCAGCACGUCGUCCGGCGGUUCGAUCCCCCGAUUAUGCAAGAGUGUUUCUUCACCUUCUCCGCCGCGAGCGUCAAGGAGCUCAAGGCGAGGGCGAACGACGAGAUGGCCGGCACGGCCACCGCCACCAUCUCCUCCCUCCAGGCCCUGCUCGCGCACCUAUGGCGGGCGGUGUCCCGAGCACGGCGCCUCCCGCCGGGGCAGGAGACGUCCUACACCCUGGCCGUCGGAUGCAGAGGGCGCGUGAGCGGCAUACCGCCGGGAUACAUGGGCAACGCGCUAGUGCCCGCGAAGGCGAGCGGCACCGUCGGCGAGGUACUGGGCAAGGGGCUGGGCUGGACGGCAUGGCAGCUGAACCGCGCCGUCGCGUCGUUCGACGAGGAGGCCAUGAGGGAGUGGCUGGAGAGCUGGACCAGGGAGCCGCAGUUCCGGUACUUUGGGAGCCUUAUGUCCGGAGGCGCGGCGCUGAUCACCGGGAGCUCGCCGUGGUUCGACGUGUUUGGGAACGACUUUGGGUGGGGGAAGCCGGCCGCCGUGCGUAGCGGCCGCGAGGGCAAGAUGGACGGGAAGGCGACGGUGUACCAGGGGCCGGAGCGGGGAGGGAGCAUGUCGCUGGAGGUCUGCAUCUCGCCGGACGCGAUGGAGAGGCUCGUCGCCGACGAGGAGUUCAUGGACGCCGUCAGACAUGGGUGA